GAUAUGCAAAGAAAAUCCUAUUUUGUCUUGUAAAUACCAAAAAACCUAGCAAAAUGUAGCUCAGGAGAGGGUCUCUCAACACACUGAGUCACCCCAUUGAGAAGAUAGUCAAUUGCUGCAACAGUUUUUGUAAUUCAGACCUUUUUGUGCAAAAAUUGUGUUAUAAUAAAGCCUUGUUGCAUAACCCUGUUUUUUAACACAGAAAACCA